GCAUCUAUUUGACAGAUCUGCAGUAGUUGCUUAUCUGUUGCCAAAGUUUCCACUACAGAUGAAAGGAAAAAGUCCUUGUGCUUUGUGCCUACCUGAUUGAGGCAGACUAGAAGGAAUGGGGAAUACAGGA
rnacentral:snoRNA from 1 species